CUCAGUCAUAGAGAUACAUCGUAAACAGACAGCCAUACAGGCACACUCAUACAGACACACUUGCACAUUCAGACACAAUCAUGCAGAAACACACACAAACAUCUUUAUGAACUACCAUGCUAUUGCCAUGGCACCUGUUCCUAUGAGGUCCGUAUAUACACCACAAGCAGGGCCAAUGUCCCUCUCUAAUGUGCCGCCACUCCUUCUGGCAUCCUACUAAAACCAGCUGAUUCACGCUAGAGCCUUUUAAAGUCUUCCAUCCACUCUGACAGAGUUAAUUACAAAAAUGUGCGUGCAUCAUCACACCAGAGACACACGCACAUCCUGGUAUCACAUGGGUCAAAGUGAAC